UACGUAGGUGGCGAGCGUUAUCCGGAAUUAUUGGGCGUAAAGGGUGCGUAGGCGGUUUAUUAAGUCUGUGGUGAAAGUGCGGGGCUCAACCCCGUAUGGCCACAGAAACUGAUCGACUAGAGUACAGGAGAGGGCAGUGGAAUUCCAUGUGUAGCGGUAAAAUGCGUAGAUAUAUGGAGGAACACCGGUGGCGAAGGCGGCUGCCUGGCCUGUAACUGACGCUGAGGCACGAAAGCGUGGGGAGCAAAUAGG
rnacentral:rRNA from 1 species